CUAAGUAUAAGCGAGUAUACUGUGAAACUGCGAAUGGCUCAUUAAAUCAGUUAUGGUUUAUUUGAUGGUACCUUGCUACUUGGAUAACCGUAGUAAUUCUAGAGCUAAUACAUGCAGGAGUUCCCGACUUCGGAAGGGAUGUAUUUAUUAGAUAAGAAACCAAACCGGUCUCCGGUUGCGUGCUGAGUCAUACUAACUGCUCGAAUCGCACGGCUUUACGCUGGCGAUGGUUCAUUCAAAUUUCUGCCCUAUCAGCUUUCGAUGGUAGGAUAGAGGCCUACCAUGGCGUUAACGGGUAACGGAGAAUUAGGGUUCGAUUCCGGAGAGGGAGCCUGAGAAAUGGCUACCACAUCCAAGGAAGGCAGCAGGCGCGUAAAUUGCCCGAAUCCUGACACAGGGAGGUAGUGACAAGAAAUAACAAUACAGGGCUCUUCGAGUCUUGUAAUUGGAAUGAGUACAAUUUACAUCUCUUCACGAGGAUCAAUUGGAGGGCAAGUCUGGUGCCAGCAGCCGCGGUAAUUCCAGCUCCAAUAGCGUAUAUUAAAGUUGUUGCAGUUAAAACGCUCGUAGUCGGAUUUCGGGGCGGGCCCGCCGGUCUGCCGAUGGGUACGCACUGGCGGGCGCGUCCUUCCUCCCGGAGACGGCCGCUACUCUUAACUGAGCGGUGGUCGGAGACGGGAUGUUUACUUUGAAAAAAUCAGAGUGUUUCAAGCAGGCAGUCGCUCUUGCAUGGAUUAGCAUGGGAUAAUGAAAUAGGACUCUGGUGCUAUUUUGUUGGUUUCGAGCACCGGAGUAAUGAUUAACAGGGACAGUCA
rnacentral:rRNA from 1 species